UUGAGGUUCAAUGAUGAGAAAGUUAACUUCAACAUCUUUGAAGGUAUGAGAAAUCAAGAUGAGAUCCCACAAUGUUUUAAAGCGGAUGUCAUUGAAGAUGAGAGUGAGAACUCAAAGAAAGAAGCAACAAAGUCAAUUUCUCCGGAUUUGAAAGCACUCCCUCCUAAUGGGAAAUUUGUAUUUUUGGGAGAUGAUUGUAAGCAACCGGUGAUCGUUAGUAGGUUGCUCACACCUUUGAAGAAGGAGGAAAAGAGGAGCCGAGUGGAAUCAAAUUUGAAGUAUCCUCCCUAACUUGGAUGAUGGUGCGUCGAGCUCGGGACGUUAAACACGCGCUUCAUGGGAGGCAACCCAUGGGAUCUCUAUGGUCCAUUUAUAUCAUUUUUCUCUCCCUUUUUAUUUAAGUACUUUUAUCUUUUCUUUUUAGUGUCUAUAAUAAUUGACUGGUCUUGGAUGACUGUGAUGAUCACUUGCACAUUUUACUUUGUUUUUAAUGAGCACCUUUAUCUUUUGGAAAGUCCCAUUUGUUUGACACCAUCUUUUCAUUCACUUUUAUAUACAAUUAUCUUGGUUUUUAAUUUGAGCAUCUGAAAUGAAAUUUCUUGCAGUGCAACGGAUUUUUGCGAUUGAUGGAUUGAAAGACAAGCUGAUGAACAUUCACAAUUUUGACCGUUCGAUAAUCCGGCCGUUUAAACCGUGAGAUUUUGAGCCUAAACACUUGGAUCGUUUCUCGCUAUGUGAGUCCACUACUUUACUUAUUCUCUAGAACUUGCUUGCGUUCUUUUAAUUGAUUGACUGCAAUGAUUACACACCGAGGCAACUUUUGUUGGUAUCUUGAGCCUU
rnacentral:lncRNA from 1 species